ACACGUCGAUAAUUUGGCCUUAGGUCUGGGAUAGCGUUGGGAAACUGACGGUAAACCCGGAUAGAGGAUUGGCACUGGAAUGUCCUUUCCUUUAAAAGUAAUGCCUAAGGGUAAGUCGGCGGCUGAUUAGGUAGUUGGUGAGGUAAUGGCUCACCAAGCCUCUGAUCAGUAGGGGGGAUGAGAGUCCUAGCCCCGAGAAGGGCACUGAGAUACUGGCCCUAGCCCUAAGGGGUGCAGCAGGCGCGAAACCUUUACAAUGCACGAAAGUGUGAUAGGGGGAUCCCAAGUGCUUUGUUUAUACAAAGCUUUUGCCAAGUGUAAAUACCUUGGCGAAUAAGUGGUGGGUAAGACUGGUGCCAGCCGCCGCGGUAACACCAGCGCCACGAGUGGGGGCCGCUUUUAUUGGGCCUAAAGCGUUCGUAGCCGGUUCAGUAAGUCUUUUGUGAAAUAGUUAGGCUUAACCUAACAACGUGCAAGAAAUACUACUGAACUUGAGACCGGGAGGAGAUAGAAGUAUUCCAGGGGGAGCGGUAAAAUGUUUUAAUCCUUGGGAGACUACCAAUGGCGAAGGCGUCUAUCUAGAACGGGUCUGACGGUGAGGAACGAAGGCUAGGGGCGCAAAACGGAUUAGAUACCCGAGUAGUCCUAGCAGUAAACUCUGUGAGCUAUGUGUUGCGCA
rnacentral:rRNA from 1 species